CAAUAGCCCAAAAAACAAAUCUUAGCGUAUGCUUCUUUAGAGAAUCCAACCCCCGAAAGAACAUGUUCCAGGUAACCAAUCAAAGUCCACCACAAAAGACCCAUCCCCAUGAACAUCUCUUACACCCCCACUAAAAUCUCUCAUUUCUCUCACUCAACUCCAGCCCUGAAACCCCUUCAAGACCCCGAGAGCCACAAGUUCUUGAGCACCGAGUACCAACUCGACUGUUGUUCUUUUUGAGGUCAUAUCUGCUGACCCCUGGUAUCCUUCAAUUUGGUAAAAAGGAAAUAACUUGUGCCUCACAGGCAAUGUUAUCAGCAAACACUUGCACACUCACUUCGAAAAGACUUUUCAAGAAAUACACGUGGAAGUAAGAGAAACUUGAAGCUUUUCACUAUCAGAGCUUCCUCUGAUGACUCUGACUGUAAUACAGAAGAAUGUGCCCCAGAAAAAGAGGUUGGGAUGGUGAGUUUGGAGUGGUUGGCUGGGGAGAAAACCAAAGUCGUCGGGACAGUCCCACAGCGGACUCGUGGUUGGACAGGGUAUGUUGAGAAAGAUACUGCGGGGCAGACAGAUAUCUAUUCUGUUGAGGCUAGUUAUCUUCAUGUUUUCCUAUAAUCUGUCUUCUUUCAAGUUUGUUACUGUAUACAGAAAAGAAACACCCAGAGCAGCUGCUGCUGCUCUUGACAUAGCAUAUUAAACGCAUUGCCUGUUAACCAUAGUAAUUGUCAAGGCUCAAUUCUAAUGAAACCUGAAUAAUCCAAAGGUUGAAACCAUAAGUGUGCCUCAAUUAGCUAUGAAAAUGGUAAUGUUCCAGCGGUGAUGAAUUAACUCUAUGUAAUAUGUAUCAACAGUUGUUUCAAAUGAAUCAGUUUUCAUCCUUGAAGCGAUCCACUGUUGUGAUUUUGUUAUAUUUGAGAGCUGAUAAAUAUCCAUGGAAAAGUUUAGCUGGGAAUCAAGGAUUGCCCAUCCUCUGAGUUGUGUUGCUUGUACUAUAGUCCAGAAGUCCUGAUAUUAGUUACCUCUCGCUUCCUCUCAAAGGAGGUUCUCCUUAUGUUUCAUAAUAGUUAAAUAUGGAUUUUCAAUGAAACAUACUGUCUCUAGAUGUGGCAGGAGAUAGGGGUUGGUUCAUGCCAAAAACCAAUCCCAAAGCCAUCAUUGAUACUAUAAUGUGCUCGAAAUACAUCUUCCGUGCUUUGUAGCUGUCAAGGAUACUUCUGUAGUUUGUAUAUGCUAUCAAUUAAGGAAUUCGCCUUAAUUUUAGUGAAUUGAGAGUGAUUGUAAAACUGCAUUGCAUUCAAUUGUCCUUCUGUGUGAUGUAGCAACUGGAGUGAAGAGUAAAGUUUCUGUGUCUAUGUUCCCAAGAACAGAAUAGAGUGCACUGCAGUAUUUCUUUUUCAUUGUUUUUGGUGGAUUUACAUCCAUAUGGCGGAUGGCGAGUGAAGGAUAUUCGUGCUGUUGUUUGCAUGCAUCAGUAAAUGUCCCAGGGGCAGGAUUCUUGAUUCUGGAUUGCUCAUUGUUUCGUAUGAGGAAGACUAUUAUCAGUUUCUCUUCAUAAUAAGUUGUUAUGCCUGCAGUUUAUGUAGCAGAAAGUGCAAUUAGUUCAUUUCUUCAUCUUCUUGUUGGUAAGAGCCCAUCUGACAUAACAACAGCCGAAUAUAAUGGGCCAUGGCCAUCUCUCAGUUACUACAUCAACAAAUUUAAGCCAGCAGAAAUUAUCCAAGCUGCAGUGCCAAGCCUAACAGAAUCCAUACAUGCAGAAAGCUCCACACCAGAUUUUUCCAAGAAACAGAUUCAAUCCGCACCAGAAGUUUCUGCAAUACAGGUUCAAUCUCAGUAUGAACCUGAGCCUUCCACUACAAGUGUGAGCAGUGUUUCUUUGGCUAAUUAAACUAGUUCAGUUUCUUGAACUGGAGAAACACAAUUUUUUUUUCUUCCACGCUGCUGACAUAUAUACUCAGAAAACAAAGAAAAAGCUAUUAACAACGAGGCAUGCUCAAUAUGUAUAGCAUGAACAUAAACAAGCAAAUAGCAUUACGGUAUUUUUUGCAGCAACAAAAAAUAAAAUCAUGCUAUCCAUAUCAUAUGUUAAUAGAUGUGCUACCUAUAUUUUCUGUAUUCACCAUCAAACUGAUAUGUUCAUAUUUACUGGUGUUUGUAAGUGUGUGUGUGUGUGUGUGUGUGUGUGUGUGUGUGAAUUGGGUUCAUUAUUUUGUAAGAUUUGGAUUAGUUGAUGGAAUAUUUUAAUUUAAUAUUAUGAUAACCUUAAAGCUUCUGCAUGGUUGCUCUUUGGUCUGUUUA